rnacentral:tRNA from 1 species
GGGGUCGUAGCUCAAUUGGUAGAGCACUGCGCUGGCAGCGCAGGGGUUGAGGGUUCGAGUCCCUUCGAUUCCACCA